rnacentral:rRNA from 1 species
CGGCAGGCCUAACACAUGCAAGUCGAACGGUAACAGGAAACAGCUUGCUGUUUCGCUGACGAGUGGCGGACGGGUGAGUAAUGUCUGGGAAACUGCCUGAUGGAGGGGGAUAACUACUGGAAACGGUAGCUAAUACCGCAUAACGUCGCAAGACCAAAGAGGGGGACCUUCGGGCCUCUUGCCAUCGGAUGUGCCCAGAUGGGAUUAGCUAGUAGGUGGGGUAACGGCUCACCUAGGCGACGAUCCCUAGCUGGUCUGAGAGGAUGACCAGCCACACUGGAACUGAGACACGGUCCAGACUCCUACGGGAGGCAGCAGUGGGGAAUAUUGCACAAUGGGCGCAAGCCUGAUGCAGCCAUGCCGCGUGUAUGAAGAAGGCCUUCGGGUUGUAAAGUACUUUCAGCGGGGAGGAAGGGAGUAAAGUUAAUACCUUUGCUCAUUGACGUUACCCGCAGAAGAAGCACCGGCUAACUCCGUGCCAGCAGCCGCGGUAAUACGGAGGGUGCAAGCGUUAAUCGGAAUUACUGGGCGUAAAGCGCACGCAGGCGGUUUGUUAAGUCAGAUGUGAAAUCCCCGGGCUCAACCUGGGAACUGCAUCUGAUACUGGCAAGCUUGAGUCUCGUAGAGGGGGGUAGAAUUCCAGGUGUAGCGGUGAAAUGCGUAGAGAUCUGGAGGAAUACCGGUGGCGAAGGCGGCCCCCUGGACGAAGACUGACGCUCAGGUGCGAAAGCGUGGGGAGCAAAC